rnacentral:rRNA from 1 species
GACGAACGCUGGCGGCGUGCCUAACACAUGCAAGUCGAGCGAUGAAGUUUCCUUCGGGAAACGGAUUAGCGGCGGACGGGUGAGUAACACGUGGGUAACCUGCCUUGUAGAGGGGGAUAGCCUUCCGAAAGGAAGAUUAAUACCGCAUAAGACUGUAGUUUCGCAUGAAAUAGCAAUUAAAGGAGCAAUCCGCUACAAGAUGGACCCGCGGCGCAUUAGCUAGUUGGUGAGGUAAGGGCUCACCAAGGCGACGAUGCGUAGCCGACCUGAGAGGGUGAUCGGCCACAUUGGGACUGAGACACGGCCCAGACUCCUACGGGAGGCAGCAGUGGGGAAUAUUGCACAAUGGGGGAAACCCUGAUGCAGCAACGCCGCGUGAGUGAUGACGGUCUUCGGAUUGUAAAGCUCUGU